AUUAAACGCUGGCGGCAUGCCUUACACAUGCAAGUCGAACGGCAGCACGGGGGCAACCCUGGUGGCGAGUGGCGGACGGGUGAGUAAUGCAUCGGAACGUGCCCUGAAGUGGGGGGAUAACGCAGCGAAAGCUACGCUAAUACCGCAUAUUCUGUGAGCAGGAAAGCAGGGGAUCGCAAGACCUUGCGCUUUGGGAGCGGCCGAUGUCGGAUUAGCUAGUUGGUGGGGUAAAGGCCUACCAAGGCGACGAUCCGUAGCGGGUCUGAGAGGAUGAUCCGCCACACUGGGACUGAGACACGGCCCAGACUCCUACGGGAGGCAGCAGUGGGGAAUUUUGGACAAUGGGCGGAAGCCUGAUCCAGCCAUGCCGCGUGAGUGAAGAAGGCCU
rnacentral:rRNA from 1 species